CCUCCAACAACUGUCGCCACCGCUCUGCCGACAUCAUCUCCUGUUUCAAACCCUAAACCACCAAUUUUCUCUCUGAUUCUUGGCUAACAACUUCAGUUCUGGUAAUAAGAACUUCAACAUCAGAUUGGGGUUUCGAAAAUCUCUACUGAGGAUAUCUGCAAGUGAGAACGAUACAAGAAGAUGAAGGCAAUGGCGAUUUGAUUCAAGCCGAUUGGAUCAUGUGGUA